GCAGCUCCGUGAACAGCCACGUAAUGUUCGCACAGAACUUCAGCGGAGCCAUGCUGCCGUUUCUGCAGGAGCAACGACCUGAAGUUCAGGAAUCGGGCUGCGAGCUGCACUUUCACCGCUGGAGGCCGCAGGAUUUGCAGCAGUUCUGGGAGCCACCAGAGGAUACUGACAGGAAAAAAGAACCCGCUGUGUGUCAGUGUAGCAGAUAUGACCAAACAACAUAUUUUGUUCCUUGGAUUUGCAGCAGUUCUGGAAGCCACAGAGGAUGCUGAUAGGAAAACAUCUGCUCUGAUCCAGUUCGUCCGCAUUUGGCCUCCAGUUGACGCUGUUAUCGGAGGCAGAUACCCAUUUGUAACGUGGAGCUGAACUGUCAGACAGGUGCAAACGCCCAGAUGCAGACUUGGAGACGCUGUAGAUGGCAGGUGGAAGUUCUUCACUGAAGAACUGACAAAGUGCAAAUAAACUGCAGACUGAGCAAACAGAGGUGGCAGAGAAAUAACAGCUGAGAGACUGAAGAUCCUGUACGCAGCUUGAGGAUCCCCCACUGGUGAACUCUCAGCAGGGGCCCACAGACGACAGUGGAAACAGGUGAACUGCUGCUCCAAUAGAAGGCAGUCGACUAAAGAGGUAAAAAAAAAAAAAAAAAAAACACACCAGACAUGCAGUAUUCAUACCACAAAGAGGCUUAUAAACGCACUCACACACAGCACAGAGCUCAAGUGCUGGAAGCUUGAUAAAUAGACCUUUUAAUUGGGGUGGUAACUAAAGUGAAUAAACGCAUUUAACCAGAUGUUGAACUUUAUUCCUGUCCACAGUUUACGCUUAGAAUUCAAAAUCAAUCAAUGAUUUAAAAACACGCAGGAGAUGUAUUGAAAUCAGUUUAAAUACCAUAAACACCCUCUGAGUUUAGCUGUCUGUAUAGAGCAGAUAUCCUCUUGUCUUCAGUCAACAUCCAUGUAUAAUCAUUAAGGUAUGAGCGUCACCAAACUUUGAAAUGUAUUGUCUGCCCCUUCCAGUUGGUCCCACCACAUAUUAUAUCGGUCCAGUAUCAUCAGCAUGUCACAUGCGGUCAGAACAGCUAAUUAAAAACAUAAUUAACUCUGCCUUCAAGCCCAACACCAUACCUGCCCAAUGUCCAAUGGAAGGAGAAAUCUUUCAUUACUGAAAUACACAUCCUUUCAACAUUUUCAGAAUUUCAGUCUUUUCAUGUUGAAGACUUAAGAAGUCAGCCUAUAUGGAAAACAUCUAUUGGUCUGAAAUGAUCGUCUUAUCACAAUCUGCAGCGUACAGAGGGCUGCUUAUUAUACUGUUCAAACCCUAACUUAUUGACAGGCCACAUAAAAGACACACUGUUAUCUGGAAUUAAGUGACUUAUCUCCUCAGCUGUGUUGUAGUGAAUGUCACAGUUUAAUAACCUCUUGGUUCUGAUAACUGCAUAAACAUUGUUUUGUUUUUUUACAAAAAAAGAUGGAAAAAGCAAGCAAAUUAAAAAAAACAUCUCAUAAAAAUGCAGUAAUACUUUUUCUAGCCUUAAUUUUACAUAUGUGUAUCUUUUGCUUAUUCGUGUUUAUUGAAGGAUAUUUACACAUUUAAAUACAAUGAAAUGACAUUUAACACAUAAAAUAAUAUCAAUAACAAGAAUAAUAUGAAUCUACAUGAUUGAAUAGAUGAUAGAUUUUUUAUACAUACAUAUAUAUAUAUAGAUAGAUAGAUAGAUAGGUAGAUAGAGAUAUAAAUACAUGUAUUUUGGCAGAUUGACAAUGUUUACAGAUAUUAUAUAAUGACAAAAACACAUUAGUUCAACAUUUGUU